rnacentral:tRNA from 1 species
GGCCCCGUCAUCUAGUGGUUAGGAUACAUGAUUCUCAAUCAUGGUACACGGGUUCGACUCCCGUCGGGGCCG